rnacentral:lncRNA from 1 species
UGCAAUCACUGCCGAACGCAUGUCUGGGUAAAAGAGGACGUCUGGUCACCCCACCAAAGGAGAUAUUUUAGUAAUCCUGUCGCUGCUAAGCUCCUUAUCUGCAUUCGUGUUGCAUAUAAACAACAAACCGAUUUGAUGUAGACAUAUAAGAAGGGGAGUCAACCAAAGGAGAUAUUUUUGUGUACAGGCAGAAGGCAUCACGGACUGGCAAGACAGCAGAGGUGCUACGGGUGAUCCUCGAGGUUUAUGACCUUCAGGAGGAAGAGGAGCCAGAUUUUGAUGAUGCUCCUGUUGCUCUCCUUACAUCGGGUCCCGACCCCUUCAGCUGCGAGAACAUCUUUGAAUUGGGUGCAGAGGAUUUCUGAGGCAUUUAUGUUGUUGUUUGGCCUGACAUAUGCUUUCAAUUUAGAAUAUCCCUAAAAACUCACGCACCCCUUCUUAUACAGAACCUUUUUAUGUGUCUGUAUGACAACAAACCUCUGAAACCGUCCUUACUAAAAAAUUAUUUGUUGAAAUAAACGAUUUGUUGUUGACUUGUUAACUUUGUAA